ACCAUAUCCCUAAGUUCUACAUCUAAACGCCUUUUGAAGACUUCCAGGGAUGGUGACUCAACCACCUCCCUGGGCAGCCUGUUCCAAUUCCUUGCUGUUUAUGCAGCCCAAAGACCAAUUACACAGAAGAAAGUUUCAGUGGCACAGCUUCAACGUGCUGUUGAUGCUCAGAAGCCAAAGGCCCCAUUGUCUGUCAGGUGUUUCAGAAAAACAUGCUAAACAUAGUCAUGACCCUAAAUACACUCCAUGUAAUGUCUGCAGAGUAAAACACUAUGCGUGGACCAGCUGGCUGGGUUUUUGUCUGUAUUGGUGUCAUGGGAAGGACAAACAAGACUUGCUCAUUCAAAACUGCUACACUGGCUGCUGUGGUACAGAAACUUAAUUUCAGAGCUACCUAAAAAGAGGAAUUCAACAGGCAAGGUUGCUGUGGUCUAACCAGUACAGAGUAAGUGACAUCAAUGAGGUAACACGGGCUCAAAUUACCAGACAGGGAAGAGGAUGGAUAAAGAGUCCUUGCGUGAAUGCUGGCUUCGCUGUUGGAAAAUAAUACAAGAAUCCUUUUGCACAACUCCCUCCUGACUGCUUUGGACGCAGAGCUUCCGAACACGCAACCAGAAAGGCUCGUGCAGCCCAGAGCAGGAUGCAUCCCCUAUUCCUGACUUCCUUGGGAAAUGUUCACACCAAAUGCAAAACUCAAAAUUCCUGAAUGAAUGUCAGGACUCACAGUUCCUGAUAGAUGCUGCACUUUCUGCUGAAGUUGAUGGUGGAGAACAUAUCAGAUUUCACCUUAUUUUUAUGCCAUGAAGACCCUCGGCUGUGACAAUGAAAUGCCUGGCACUGCCCAAAUUCACAUCAUUCCUUUCUGCCCAGUACAGAUAUAGUACAUUCUCAUGAGAGAAAGAUGUUCGGCUAUUAAAAAAGAAAAAUAAAAUCCUGAUCAGAGUAACAUCUUGGAAGUAAAUUGCAACUGAGGAUAAGAACAUAACCUUCUGGAUCACGAGCUCUUGAGUUUAGAUGUAUACAAUGACGUGUACCUAUGUGCUUCACAUAGUCUGAUAAAGUUGUGGCUUGCAAAGAGGUAUUUUCUCAGGCACUGUUUCCCAACUGAUGCCAGAUCCUGCUUACCAGUAUCCUCAUCACCUUGCUUGUAACACCUGUGCAGCACUGAGGUUUGUGAAACACAGCCCGUGUUUCUAGCACCAAUCUUCCUGGAACUGUCCCUCCUCACACAGCCUCAGGGAGGGACUCUAUUUUAACCCACCACUGCACAUCGAUUCUUGGCAGUAUGCCGAUCCAUUUAAUGCAUCAGAUGCUUUGUUCCAAGCAUUUGAUUUCAGGCAGCCUUGGGACUGACAGAGCUGCACUAGCAUUCUGCACAUUUAGCUGGAUGAGAAUUGCUUCUGUGAUUACUGCCCUAGCUCCAUGCAUGGUGCUGUGUUCAGAAAGGGAGAACUAGCACUGCACAGCAGGAUAAUACUGCAUUGUAAAUAUGAAAAGUUCAACAACAGCUCCAAAGCAUCUACCUGAUGAGGCAAGGCUUCAGCUCUAGCCCUGAUCAAAAACUGUGAUGCUUCAUUAAGGUUGUUAUCUGUCAUUCCUCAGCCUCAAGGAGAGACUGCUAUCAUAACCGGCCUGUGCAGCAGUUUUCCCAACUAUAGCAGGACCUACACCAUUAGUACCACUGCCCUGAGGAUGCUGAUGUGGUCAAGCAUGUUCUCCUCAGCUAUUAACAACAAAUCAACCCUAACAAUUAACUUGAACACUUGCCACAGAUAUUUAAGCAUUACUUUGCUGGAUGAAGGAAAGGUCAAGAAGGAUCUUGAUAAGCUGCCAAACAAAGCAAUAUUUAAACGGUCUCAGAUCUGCUUCCCUGUUCAGUACUUCAUAGCUAUAACAAGGCUGCAGGAAAAAAAAAUAGAACUGUAUUGCUUGGGUUUGGCCAUUGCAGGCAAUUCGUCUCAGCAGAAUAUGUAAAUACAUGAUGGAACCUUUGCCAAAAAUACACUGCCUCUCCUGUCCUCUCCUCUCCCUGGUUUCAGGGUGGAGACAGAUUCCUCAAACACACUUGCAAGGCCAGUAAUGAUCUCUAAUGCUUUUUAACACUAAGAUGCUGAGGGAUGAUAUAGUUCAAGAACAAGUUUUCCUCCUUUUAAGAGGCCAUUAAACAAAAAAACAACCACCUCUGAUUAUUUCGAUAAUGCCAUUUACACUGUAGGCCCACAGGUGGGUCUGACAGCAAAGCGGUGCGAGGGAAACACCUGGCCAUUAGAACAAGAAUAGUUUUGUCAGUUGGCUUUGUUUUUUUGUGAAAAGGUUUUGUUGCUAAAGAAAACAUGGCACUGAGCUACACCUUUAGUUACAUUUUGUUAGAGUGAAGUAUUCUCACAGACUCCAAUUCACACAAGCUCUGUGCACUCAGGCCCAAGUGUGAAGACCAGGCCGAAUCCCACCCCAACAACUGCCAACAGCCACGGGGCCGUGGCUACAGGCAUUGAGGUAGUAUUAGGAGACAUUUCGCUCUUGGCUUGCAACUUUCAAAUCCCUCUUUUUCCAAACAAGUUGCUCUCUUCUCAGUGCACAAGAUAGCAUGAGUAGCACAAACUGCCACAUAAACUCUCACUGUGACUUCCACCUAACCUAGGGAUGAUCAAUCACCAAGAAAAUGAUUCUGCAGCAAGGUGGAGCUCACCACACUUGAGCAUGUUCCUCACACACACUUGAGUGGUUCCUUUCUCACCCAACACCACACUGCCUCUUUGGCUGUCAGUGAUAGAAAUUUCUAUUUGGCUUCACUAACUGAAGAAAAGAUCUAGGUCUUAAAAAAAAUAGUUUAAAAGGUAAUAAAGCAAGAAAUAUAA